GUUUCCGGUGCAGAAGCCUGGUCUCCCCGUUCAGAGCGGGCAAUCUGCGCUUGAGACGGUAACGCUUGAGACGGGCCCAGGGAGCUCUCAGGGCUGGAGGGAGGCCAGACGGCUGCAGCCUGUCUCUCUGUGGCUCUGCCUGGAAGACGGAAGGUAAGAGGCUGGCUCCAGUCAUCCAUGACGGGUUGGCACUUCUCCAGCUGCGGCCAGUCUAACCCCAGGGCCUCCUGGGAAAUGUAGUUCGAAUGCAAACAACCAAUGGACGACCGUCAGGCGCGGCCGUUGGGGCAAGGCGGACCCCCUCCAACCCCCCCGUUCCCCCGCCAAGGCUUGAAGGAAGCGAGCUCUCGGACCGGAAGAUCAAGACGUCUCCGCGCGUUUCCUCCUUUCACUGCGGUUUUCCAGUAAAAGGACUGCGGAGGCGGAGAGGGUGUGGCCGGCAUGGGACUCCGCCUCUGCUCUGGUGACUCCCAUAGGUUAGAGCUGGGGCACCUACGUUGCCACCUCCAACUUUCUAACUUCUACUCUGCUGUCCCCACCGGCCGUCUUGUUUUUAAAGGCUCCUAGGAUCCACGCUGUCUUGUCUCCGACCUCCACCUCCCAGUAAUGAUGGCCGGAGAGGAAGCUCGGAGAGCCCAGAACAACGAUGCAGCUGUCAAAUCUUUGCGGGCCAUCAGGCAGCCUCUCCCGCUUGUUUCCAAGUCUAACACUCUUCAGAUCAUCAGAGACGAUGAGGUUGGGGUAAGCGGUUUCUGCAUCCAGAAUCACAUUAACUGCAAAGAAAAUUUGAAUACCUAGCUAGGGGUCCGUAGGCAACAUCCCUACAGGGUUAUCCCCACCUGCAGGAAAACAGGGACAGGGCAGUUAUUCUCGAACGUGGUGGGGGAGAGCACAGGGAUCCAGCAGGUCAGGGCCACUUGCCUUGAUCUGGGCACUUACCGGCAUGUGCCUGAGCGCCAAUCAGCUCUGGAACUACAGAGAAAAAUGAGAUAGGGAAAAAAGUCCUGAGCAUUUGUAUUCAGAGGGGCUAAAUUACAAUGUCCCGACAACAAGGAGACGCAAGGAACCCCCUGCUUAGGGCCCUGCAUGCUAUGUUGGGUAUAAUCCCGUUCCUCCCAGGAACCCAGGUCAUGUUGGGAACUGUGGUCUAAUGAGUCAGCUCAGCCAGUGAGUCAUGCAGUCAUGCACAGAGCCUGGGGGGCCUGCCAUGACCUUUCUCCUGCCUUUGCUCCAGGUGUUUUUGGGUUUUUUUGUCUUCUAAAUAGGGCCCCUCAAGUCAACAGCACAAGGAAACACUGCAACAAUCCCAGGCCAGCACACACUAUUACCGCUGGACUCACCAUUGAACAUUUCCAUUUCUGAACGCAGGGUUUCUAAAAUGUGGGAAAGGGAACAGAGAGAAGCUGGAGUUAGGUCCCUCAGCUAGGGACAGAUGGAAGAGAGGUCGAAGGCAGGUCAGCAAGACCAGGGGUGGAGGAGGAGGGAAGUGAGGGGCUCUGGGCUAUGUGAAUCUUAGGGCGGAAGCAAGCAUGCACCUCCAAUCCUCUCCCAAGCCCAUCUACCUAAGAAGUACUUUGCGUUCUUCUCCACAAACUCUAACUUCUGGUGGAGCAGUUGGAUCUUCUGUUUCAUCUCUUGAGGAGGAGUCCACCGUUCAGGGAGAGGCACUGUCUUAGCCCUAGAGACAAAAGACUGUUGGCCAGAGAGGGCUGGAACGAGGGGAUGGCCCAAGUACCCGUGAGCUGGAAAUGAUCUACAUUCUCCACAGGGCACACCUAGCCCAGCCUGAGCUACACAAAGAAAAGUCUUCUCUGGAUUCAGAGGUCUAAAUGCUGGUCCUCAACUUUGGCCACAGAUUGUCAUGUACUGGGGCGCUUUAAAGACAUGGAUAUCAAAACCACAAGGAGUUUUCAGAAUGGACUUAAAAUGACAUUGAUAUUAUCUACCAGAAUUAUCUAUGUCAAAUUGAUUAUACAUCCCUUUAUUUCUUUCUAUUGAAAUAAAAAUGGUAGUUAAUGAAAAAAAAAAACAAUAAAA